rnacentral:tRNA from 1 species
GCCGAGGUGGCGAAAUUGGUAGACGCAUAAGUUUCAGAAACUUAUGGAUUUUAUAAGUCCGUGUCGGUUCGAAUCCGGCCCUCGGCA